rnacentral:rRNA from 1 species
AACGAACGCUGGCGGCAGGCCUAACACAUGCAAGUCGAGCGAGGACUUCGGUCCUAGCGGCGGACGGGUGAGUAACGCGUGGGAACGUGCCCCUUGGUACGGAAUAGCCCCGGGAAACUGGGAGUAAUACCGUAUGAGCUCUACGGAGGAAAGAUUUAUCGCCAAGGGAUCGGCCCGCGUUGGAUUAGGUAGUUGGUGGGGUAAUGGCCUACCAAGCCGACGAUCCAUAGCUGGUUUGAGAGGAUGAUCAGCCACACUGGGACUGAGACACGGCCCAGACUCCUACGGGAGGCAGCAGUGGGGAAUCUUAGACAAUGGGCGCAAGCCUGAUCUAGCCAUGCCGCGUGAGCGAUGAAGGCCUUAGGGUUGUAAAGCUCUUUCAGCGAGGAAGAUAAUGACUGUACUCGCAGAAGAAGCCCCGGCUAACUCCGUGCCAGCAGCCGCCGUAA